UGAAUCUUUCUCUGAGCUCAGAUUUGGUCCCAGAUCAAGAUGUCAUCGAUGUCAUCAUCCACGUGGGAAGGAACCCGCAUGGAAGACACUUAGCCUGGAGGUACUUCAGGGAGAAGUGGGACAUCUUGAAUUCCCGGUACGGAGAGGCCUUAUUCAUGACCUCUAAGCUAAUCAGUGGGGUGACUGAAUUCCUGAACACAGAGACGGAGCUGAAUGAGCUGAAGGAGUUUAUCCAGAUCAGUGGAGGUGGAGCGGGGCCGGCGUUGGCCCGGGCCGUGGAGAUCGUGGAGGCCAACGUGAGAUGGCACAGUCUCUACGAACGCCAGAUCUUCCAGUGGCUAAGGAAGUCUCCCAACGGUUAACACACAGCCAACAGGGUUCAGCCCAAGCACGGCAUCUCUCUGACACUAUUACAGACCCAACAACAUCAGGCGGAGAAAAAAAAUAGCAGAAAAAAACAGUUUCAACAUGAAUAUGUUAAUUUGAAUUGCAAAAUAAGACAUUUUCCCCACCUCCCCCCCCCCCCCUCAUCAAAACUUGAUGAGAAAGUGACUGGCAAACCGGAGAGAGAGGAAACAGUGAAGACAGACGACGUGAUUGGCUCAGAUGACCUUAGUCUGACCGAUCGUUUGGAAGGUGGAUUUGAUUAGGUAUAAAUAUUGCAUGGUGGCAUUCAUCUCCAGUGACAGCUUUCUUUUUUCAACGCAUGGUUUUCACCCCCCCUCUCCUCUGAUUGGUUUUCCACUAAGCUGACCCCUGUGACCUUUUCAAUGACCUUUGAACCUCCGGUCAACUCUUUAGUAGCCUAUGGGGAGAAUGACAAACUAGAGCUACAAGAGGCACGAGAAGAGGACCUGGCGGCAUUAUGAUACCAACUGUGACAAGCACAAGUAUUAUCAAUUUUUUUGUUCAAUGCUGACAAUCAUUAUUUUGAUUGGGACAACAGCAACAAAAAUAUAUAUAAAUUAUAACGAAAUAAAAGAAUAUGUACCUAAAUGUUUUGGACCUUAAUCUUCUCCUUUGAGCCAUACUGAGGUGGACUUUGUGACGUCUGGAACAUUUAGACAGGGGGGGACGUGGCGGCUGAAGGGAUGUUCAUUGUUGUGCGUGUUGUGUUCCAUAAUAACUUAUCCUCCUUCCUCAGCCAAUAAGGUUUCUCUAAAUGACAUGACGCCAGGGGGAGACUCUGCAGAACCCAGGAGGCAGUUUGGAAGCAGGAACAAGGGGACUCCCCAUAACCCGAAAGAGUCACUAUGGAUUAUUGAUCGAUUCUCGUUAAAUGACAUCAUUUAUAUUUGCUUGUGGAUUAUACCGUCUUGGUGUUUGAGUGAAAAUAAAAAAUGAAACUGUUGUGAGUUGCAGGUUGAUAUUCUGUGUGCAAAAUGGUCCACGUUGCUGAUGGGACUGAGAGCCAGUGGAUACAGUCUGUGUGAGCCGCGGUGUAGUAAUGCUGACAUAUAGAAAAGUACGUUGUUUUGGUUGAAACGUCAUGCUUGGGUUUUCAUGUGACGCUAAUUACUUCAUAAAAAGGUUUCACUCAGAAACCGUAUUUUAAGCAAAAGCAGAGGAAAUAUUCUACAAUAUUCCUGACAAAAUAUUAAUAGUUUUGUUGCUACCCUGCAAAGCCCGGUAAACUUAACAGGCCGAUGCUAACAGCUAGCUGGAUAUACUCUGUGGACUCGUUUCAUGAAGAAUAGAACAUAAUAAUGAGUUUUUACUGUUGACACUUGGCUGGUAGAGCAAAUCCCCAUUGGGUUUACUGGGGAGUCCAUUGGUCUUAUUUUCUGUGUAAAAGUCAGUGCUAUUUAUAUCCUCUAUGGCUAAUCCUUGAUACUGUAGACCUCAAGAAGAAAACUGUUGCAGCCCUUCACCAUCUUUUCCUUUCUUGUUGUUGUUUUGAUGUGUUAAAAAAGUUUUUUUUUCUAAAUGAGGGACUAUAUUGUUCUGUGUUUUGAGCAGAGCAGCAAUGGGAUUUUAACGCUGAUAAAUAAAUUAUUUUGUACAGUAA